rfam:Triticum aestivum genome assembly, contig: Triticum_aestivum_CS42_TGACv1_scaffold_342503_4DL
GAAGUACUCCCUCCGUUCGGAAUUACUUGUCACAAAAAUGGAUGUAUCUACAACUAGAAAACAUCUAGAUACAUUCAUUUCUUGGACGAGUAAUUCCAAACGGAGGGAGUAGUAU